GAAUAAGUUGUGGAGGUAGAGCACUGAUUGGGUGCGGGGCCCGCCAAGGGUUACCAAGUCCAGUCAAACUCCGAAUGCCAUAAACUCGAAUCUCGGGAGUCAGACAGUGAGUGCUAAGAUCCAUUGUCGAGAGGGAAACAGCCCAGACCAUCAGCUAAGGUCCCCAAGUGUGUGUUAAGUGGGAAAGGAUGUGGAGUUGCAAAGACAACCAGGAUGUUGGCUUAGAAGCAGCCACCAUUGAAAGAGUGCGUAAUAGCUCACUGGUCGAGUGACUCUGCGCCGAAAAUGUAACGGGGCUAAACACGCCACCGAAGCUAUGGACUCAAUACGUUUAGUAUUGUUUGGUAGGGGAGCGUUGUAUAUGCUGCGAAGGUGUACCGUAAGGAGCGCUGGAGAGUAUACAAGUGAGAAUGCCGGUAUAAGUAACGAAAAGACAAGUGAGAAUCUUGUCCGCCGAAAGCCUAAGGGUUCCUGAGGAAGGCUCGUCCUCUCAGGGUAAGUCGGGACCUAACGCGAGGCCGAAAGGCGUAGUGGAUGGACAACUGGUUGAAAUUCCAGUACCACCGUGAACCGUUAUGAGCAAUGGGGUGACGCAGAAGGGGAAAGAUGCAGACGGAUGGAAGUGUCUGUGCAAGCAGUGAGGCUAAAGUGUAGGCAAAUCCGCACUUUGUUAGGCUAGGCUGUAAUGCGGAGGGAAAAUUACAGUACCGAAGAUCAUGUACUCAAGCUGCCAAGAAAAGCCUCUAGCCAGGGAGAAGGUGCCCGUACCGCAAACCGACACAGGUGGGCGAGAAGAGUAUUCUAAGGCGCGCGGAACAACUCUCGUUAAGGAACUCGGCAAAAUGCCCCCGUAACUUCGGGAGAAGGGGGGCCCCUAUCGUGAUGGACACGUGCUGUCCGGAGCGUGCAGGGGCCGCAGAGACCAGGGGGAAGCGACUGUUUACUAAAAACACAGGUCCGUGCGAAGUCGCAAGACGAUGUAUACGGACUGACUCCUGCCCGGUGCUGGAAGGUUAAGAGGACCGGUUAGCCGCAAGGCGAAGCUGAGAAUUUAAGCCCCAGUAAACGGCGGUGGUAACUAUAACCAUCCUAAGGUAGCGAAAUUCCUUGUCGGGUAAGUUCCGACCUGCACGAAUGGAGUAACGACUUCCCC
rnacentral:rRNA from 1 species